UUUUUAUGAAUUAUAAUCAGACUGGUCUUUGCCUGCCCUUCCACCUUGCUCACAUUGUUAUUCCCCCACAACAUCAAAGAUUUGUAUACAUUCUCAUCCAGAAUUGAUUUUACCCUUUGGUGGCAUCACCCAGAAUUUCCUUUGGGAAACAUCAAACCCAUCAAGUCCAUAGCUUUGGAUGUGGCUGACUCCACAGCCAGCUCUGAAGUGGACAUGUUUCUAAUCAGAAAACCACAAUCCUUGGUCAUAGCAAUUGAUUCAAUGCAGAACACAUGACUCAGGCUGUCCAGUGACACCCAACCCAGAUCUUUUGUUGCAACCUUUAAAAAAGAGUAGUACUUGGCAAAGCCAGCAAAUAGCAAGGGAUUCCUGAGGAUAUAGUUUGAGCUUCUAGAUCUACCUGUGCCUGAUCUCUUCGGUAAUAACAAUCAAUCUUUUUUCCCUUCUGCUUAAACCAACUUGAAUUGGUCUACAAAGAGUAUCCCCAUCUCUUUACCCCUUCAAGUUAAAUUCAUCCUUUGAGAUCUAGCCCUCAUGCCACUUUUGAAUUAUUCUUCCCUUUCCUUAAUUCCCAUUAUACCUUACUUCAUCUAUAUUGCAUUAAAACUAGAUCGUCUCAAUUGUUCAGCAUUUUCUAGUUUUACUUCCCUACUGUACCAAAAGCCUCUUAAAACCUUGGACCACGAACUCCAUUUCUCUUGUGUCCACAACACUUAAGAAUCUUUCACACACACACACACACACACACACACACACACACACAAGGAAUCUUUCACACGUAAGAGACAGAUGGACUGCUAAAUUCUUGGUUGAGUUACCUUUCUUUGGGAAGUCAACUGUCAGGAGCUCAAGAGUAAGUGAAAAAUGAGGAAAUUGUUGCUAAUCACAGACCUACUCUGUGGAUAAUUCUGUUCCCAUUUUUCUGGUUAAAAACAAAUAUAGGAAGAGAGAAGGGGAACCAAUAUCAGUGACCAGGGCAUAAAGUCACAUUUUGCAUCAACUUCUGAAGCUAUCUGUUCAGGCCUCCAGAGGGGCCCAAUAACAACUACCUGUUCUAGAAUGUGGGAUUUAUUUUUAUCCAGAGAUGAUGAAACCAAUAAAUCAGGAGAUGACUCCCACUGAAAAGAUAGUUUAUUUUAGUCCCCAAGAAGAGGGUGCACACCACACCAUGCAGGACCGCAUGGGGAACCACAGGGUGGUUCUACAGAUAGAAGAGGCAUGGGGAAAAUCUGUAUCAUGGUCUCCUCAGGAAAAGCAAGGCAAGGAAAGCAAGGCAGAGUGAGCACGUUCAGGACUGGGCUCAGUUUGAAUGAUUUCAGUGGUCUCUGGGGUGCAGGGGCUGUUCCACAGUCUGUGGUUCCUGGCCCUGGAUUUGUUAGGGCAAGGGAAUAUUGGCUUAGUACAUACGAGUUUGAAAUAAAGGAGAUGGUGGAGAGAUGUGGGUUCUGGAUUUGUCAGUUUGCAUAUGAUGGUUCUAGGGAGUUAUUUGCUAUCUCUGGGAAUUAGCCCUGGAGAGGCAUUUUAGCCCCAGUCAAUGAGAUCCUGGAUGGCAGAGUAUCACGAAUUUGGAAAAUAAGAACAUUUGGGUAAUAUGCUCCUUUCUUUCCCACCUGGGUUCAAAAUGAACAAUAAGACAGAGGAGAGGCAGAUGAUGGACAAAGUAUCCCCUCUAUUACUGAGAAAGCCUCCAUUUGAGAACGUGUCUUAACAUGAGAGUUAAACAGGCCUUUCAACUCCAUCCAGAAUUAGUCAGACUUACUCAUGCGGUCAUAGGUAGCAUUGGAUCAGGAUAAACUUUCCCAAGUGGGAAGGAUUUCACAGCAUGAGCAACAGACAAUAAAUUGUGCUUACUGCAAGCAAAUUUACCUCCAGGAGGGGAAAGAAAAAAAAAAAAAAAAAAAAAAAAAG
rnacentral:lncRNA from 1 species